rnacentral:rRNA from 1 species
GGUUAGGGUUAACGUCCCGACAACGAGCGCCUAACCCUUGUCUAUUUAGUUGCCAUCUAGUUUGGGUUGGGCACUCUAUGGGACUGCCGGUGACAAACCGGAGGAAGUGGGGAUGACGUCAAGUCCUCAUGGCCCUUAUGGGUAGGGCUUCGCACGUCAUACAAUGGUCGGUACAGAGGGUUGCCAACCCGCGAGGGGGAGCUAAUCCCACAAAGCCGAUCGUAGUCCGGAUUGUUCUCUGCAACUCGAGAGCAUGAAGUCGGAAUCGCUAGUAAUCGCAGAUCAGCAUGCUGCGGUCGAAUACGUUCCCGGGCCUU